rnacentral:rRNA from 1 species
GGAACGCUGGCGGCGUGCUUAAUACAUGCAAGUCGAGCGAGGCCUUGGAGUUGGAGUCCUUCGGGAUGAAGAGCCCUUGGCCUAGCGGCGGACGGGUGAGUAACGCGUGGGCAACCUACCCCAAAGUCCGGGAUAACAGUGGGAAACUACUGCUAAUACCGCAUAAGAUCUUCGGAUGAAAGGUGCAACUGCACCGGUAAGAGAUGAGCCCGCGUCCCAUUAGCUAGUUGGUGAGGUAAAGGCUCACCAAGGCGACGAUGGGUAGCCGGCCUGAGAGGGUGAACGGCCACACUGGGACUGAGACACGGCCCAGACUCCUACGGGAGGCAGCAGUAGGGAAUCUUCCGCAAUGGGCGCAAGCCUGACGGAGCGACGCCGCGUGAGUGAUGAAGGCCUUCGGGUCGUAAAGCUCUGUUCUUGAGGACGAAUAAGCCAGGGAGUGGAAAGCCCUGGUGAUGACUGUACUCAAGGAGAAAGCUCCGGCUAACUACGUG